rnacentral:rRNA from 1 species
GACGGAGGGAGCUAGCGUUGUUCGGAAUUACUGGGCGUAAAGCGCACGUAGGCGGCUUUUCAAGUCAGGGGUGAAAUCCCGGGGCUCAACCCCGGAACUGCCCUUGAAACUGGAUGGCUAGAAUCUUGGAGAGGCGAGUGGAAUUCCGAGUGUAGAGGUGAAAUUCGUAGAUAUUCGGAAGAACACCAGUGGCGAAGGCGACUCGCUGGACAAGUAUUGACGCUGAGGUGCGAAAGCGUGGGGAGCAAACAGG